UACGUAGGGCGCGAGCGUUGUCCGGAAUUAUUGGGCGUAAAGAGCUCGUAGGCGGCCGGUCGCGUCGGCUGUGAAAACUCGGGGCUCAACCCCGAGCCUGCAGUCGAUACGGGCAGACUAGAGUGCUGUAGGGGAGACUGGAAUUCCUGGUGUAGCGGUGAAAUGCGCAGAUAUCAGGAGGAACACCGGUGGCGAAGGCGGGUCUCUGGGCAGUAACUGACGCUGAGAAGCGAAAGCGUGGGGAGCGAACAGG
rnacentral:rRNA from 1 species